GAUGAAGAACGCAGCGAAAUGCGAUAAGUAAUGUGAAUUGCAGAAUUCAGUGAAUCAUCGAAUCUUUGAACGUACAUUGCGCCCGCCAGCAUUCUGGCGGGCAUGCCUGUUCGAGCGUCAUUUCAACCCUCGAGCCCCCCCGGGGGCCUCGGUGUUGGGGGACGGCACACCAGCCGCCCCCGAAAUGCAGUGGCGACCCCGCCGCAGCCUCCCCUGCGUAGUAGCACACACCUCGCACCGGAGCGCGGAGGCGGUCACGCCGUAAAACGCCCAACUUUCUUAGAGUUGACCUCGGAUCAGGUAGGAAUACCCGCUGAACUUAAGCAUAUCAAUAAGCGGAGGA
rnacentral:misc_RNA from 1 species